rnacentral:rRNA from 1 species
UAGUCUCGCACAGAUGCAUAUCAAUAAGCGGAGGAAAAGAAACUAACAAGGAUUCCCUUAGUAACGGCGAGUGAAGCGGGAAGAGCUCAAAUUUGAAAUCUUCAAGGUUUUACCUUGACGAAUUGUAGUUUAAAGAAGUGUUUUCUGUUGAAGUUUUGGUAAAAGUUCUUUGGAAUAGGACAUCAUAGAGGGUGAGAAUCCCGUAUUUGACCAUUAUUUUCAGCUGUGUCGAUACACUUUCAAAGAGUCGGAUUGUUUGGGAAUGCAGUCCAAAAUGGGUGGUAAAUUUCAUCUAAAGCUAAAUAUUGGCGAGAGACCGAUAGCGAACAAGUACCGUGAGGGAAAGAUGAAAAGAACUUUGAAAAGAGAGUUAAACAGUACGUGAAAUUGUCAAAAGGGAAGCGUUUGACACCAGUGUUGUUUUCUCGAAAAUCAAUUAAAAAGAGUUAGAUUUUGUUGUGUAUUGACCUUAACAGCUUGCAUUUCAAUUUUCUUGCUUUUUUUAAUGCACUUUUCGUUUAACAAGUCAACAUCAGUUUCUUUUGUUGUAAAAAGGUCAUUGGAAGGUGGCUUUCUUUUCGGAGAAAGUGUUUAUAGCCUUUGACUCCUGCAAUCGGAGAGACUGAGGUCUGCAGCGUAGAUCCUUCGGGGUUAGAUACAUUUGUGCUAAGUUAUAGCUUUUUAUAGACAACUUGUUGACUAUGAUUAGUCUUGUAGCUUACUCGCUUAUGCUAUUUUACCUACGCUUAGGAUGUUGAAGAUGUAGCACAUCAU